CCUACGGGUGGCUGCAGUCGAGAAUCAUUCACAAUGGGGGAAACCCUGAUGGUGCGACGCCGCGUGGGGGAAUGAAGGUCUUCGGAUUGUAAACCCCUGUCAUGUGGGAGCAAAUUAAAAAGAUAGUACCCCAAGAGGAAGAGACGGCUAACUCUGUGCCAGCAGCCGCGGUACUACAGAGGUCUCAAGCGUUGUUCGGAAUCACUGGGCGUAAAGCGUGCGUAGGCUGUUUCGUAAGUCGUGUGUGAAAGGCGCGGGCUCAACCCGCGGACGGCACUUGAUACUGCGAGACUAGAGUAAUGGAGGGGGGACCGGAAUGCGCGGUGUAGCAGUGAAAUGCGUAGAGAUCGAGAGGAACACUGGUGGCGAAGGCGGGUUCCUGGACAUUAACUGACGCUGAGGCACGAAGGCCAGGGGAGCGAAAGGGAUUAGAUACCCUAGUAGUC
rnacentral:rRNA from 1 species